UACGUAGGGGGCAAGCGUUGUCCGGAAUCCUUGGGCGUAAAGCGCGUGUAGGCGGUCCGGUAAGUCCGCUGUGAAAGUCGGGGGCUCAACCCUCGGAUGCCGGUGGAUACUGUCGGGCUUGAGUACGGAAGAGGCGAGUGGAAUUCCUGGUGUAGCGGUGAAAUGCGCAGAUAUCAGGAGGAACACCAAUUGCGAAGGCAGCUCGCUGGGACGUUACUGACGCUGAGGCGCGAACGCGUGGGGAGCGAACAGG
rnacentral:rRNA from 1 species